rnacentral:misc_RNA from 1 species
GGUUGUUGCUGGUCUUCAAACGGGGACAUGUGCACGCUCUGUUUACACAUCCACUCACACCUGUGCACCCUCCGUAGUUCUAUGGUCUGGGGGACCCUGUCUUCCUGCCGUGGUUCUACGUCUUUACACACACUCUGUAAUAAAGUCUUAUGGAAUGUAUGCCGCGUCUAACGCAAUACAAUAC